rnacentral:rRNA from 1 species
GCCCUUCGGGGUGCUGACGAGUGGCGGACGGGUGAGUAAUGCUUAGGAAUCUGCCUGGUUGUGGGGGAUAACCCGGGGAAACUCGGGCUAAUACCGCAUACGUCUUCUUACCUCGCGGUAAGGAGGGAAAGCGGGGGACUUUCGGGCCUCGCGCAAUCAGAUGAGCCUAAGUCCGAUUAGCUAGUUGGUAGGGUAACGGCCUACCAAGGCGACGAUCGGUAGCUGGUCUGAGAGGACGACCAGCCACACUGGGACUGAGACACGGCCCAGACUCCUACGGGAGGCAGCAGUGGGGAAUAUUGGACAAUGGGCGAAAGCCUGAUCCAGCGAUGCCGCGUGUGUGAAGAAGGCCUGCGGGUUGUAAAGCACUUUCAGUAGGGAAGAAAAGCCGAAUGCUAAUACCAUUCGGUCUUGACGUUACCUGAAGAAGAAGCACCGGCUAACUCCGUGCCAGCAGCCGCGGUAAUACGGAGGGUGCGAGCGUUAAUCGGAAUUACUGGGCGUAAAGGGCGCGUAGGCGGUGAAGUCAGUCGGGUGUGAAAGCCCCGGGCUCAACCCGGGAAUGGCAUUCGAUACUGCUUCGCUGGAGUAUGGUAGAGGGAAGCGGAAUUCCGGGUGUAGCGGUGAAAUGCGUAGAUAUCCGGAGGAACACCAGUGGCGAAGGCGGCUUCCUGGACCAAUACUGACGCUGAGGCGCGAAAGCGUGGGGAUCAAACAGGAUUAGAUACCCUGGUAGUCCACGCCCUAAACGAUGAGAACUAGCCGUUGGAGGAAAUCAGUCCUUUAGUGGCGCAGCUAACGCGAUAAGUUCUCCGCCUGGGGAGUACGGCCGCAAGGUUAAAACUCAAAGGAAUUGAC